GGGUGCAGUGGGGCAGACGAUGCUGGGUCGCAAGCACAGCUAGUGAAAGCGCAGCGGAGGCCGGAGGCUUUCAGGCCUUUAGCUGAACGCGAAGCUGCCGUGGCGAUGUUGGGGACAGGCUGCCGGCGCCUCGGGGCGAGCCUCGGCUGCCUGCCCGGCGGUCUCCGGGCCCUCGUCCAGACCGGCCACCGGAGCUUGAGCUCAUGCAUCGACCCUUCCCUGGGACUUAAUGAAGAGCAGAAAGAAUUUCAGAAGGUGGCCUUUGACUUUGCUGCCCGGGAGAUGGCUCCAAAUAUGGCAGAGUGGGACCAGAAGGAGCUGUUCCCAGUGGAUGUGAUGCGGAAGGCAGCCCAGCUAGGCUUCGGAGGGGUCUACAUACGAACAGAUGUGGGUGGGUCUGGACUGUCACGGCUUGAUACCUCUGUCAUUUUCGAAGCCUUGGCUACAGGCUGCACUAGCACCACAGCCUAUAUGAGCAUCCACAACAUGUGUGCCUGGAUGAUUGAUAGCUUUGGAAAUGAGGAACAGAGGCACAAAUUUUGCCCACCGCUCUGUACCAUGGAGAAGUUUGCUUCCUACUGCCUCACUGAACCAGGAAGCGGGAGUGAUGCUGCCUCUCUUCUGACCUCCGCUAAGAAACAGGGAGAUCAUUACAUCCUCAAUGGCUCCAAGGCCUUCAUCAGCGGUGGUGGCGAGUCAGACAUCUAUGUGGUCAUGUGUCGAACGGGAGGACCAGGCCCCAAGGGCAUCUCAUGCGUAGUUGUUGAGAAGGGGACCCCUGGCCUCAGCUUUGGCAAGAAGGAGAAAAAGGUGGGGUGGAACUCCCAGCCAACACGAGCUGUGAUCUUCGAAGACUGUGCCGUCCCUUUGGCCAACAGAAUUGGGGACGAGGGGCAGGGCUUCCUCAUUGCCGUGAAAGGACUGAACGGAGGGAGGAUCAAUAUUGCUUCCUGCUCUCUGGGGGCUGCCCACGCCUCUGUCAUCCUCACCCGAGACCACCUCAAGGUCCGGAAGCAGUUUGGAGAGCCUCUGGCCAGUAACCAGUACUUGCAGUUCACACUGGCUGAUAUGGCAACAAGGCUGGUGGCCGCACGGCUGAUGAUCCGCAAUGCAGCAGUGGCUCUGCAGGAAGAGAGGAAAGAGGCAGUGGCCUUGUGCUCCAUGGCCAAGCUCUUUGCUACAGAUGAAUGCUUUGCUAUCUGCAACCAGGCCUUACAGAUGCACGGCGGCUACGGCUACCUGAAGGAUUACGCUGUUCAGCAGUACAUGCGGGACUCCAGGGUCCACCAGAUUCUAGAAGCCAGCGCGGAAGUCUUGAAAUGACACGACUCUUGGAAAAGCAGGAGGAGCAGAGGCUUCUUCGAGUGACUUCAGUGAAGCAACGUGAGGCUGCCUUGCUGGAAACAUCAUAUAAUGGGGCUUCCCUGCCCCUUUCACAGCACUGUUUGCAAACCUCAGCCUGUGCUGGAAUCGCCUGGAGGGCAUGGGAGCACAGAUUGCGGGCCUCAACCCCAGAGCUUCUGCCCCAGAGGGUCUAGUGUGGGCCUGGGAAUUUGUAUCUCCAACAAGUCUUCAAGUGAGGUUGCCGCAGCUUGUCUGAGAACCACACAUUGAGACCCACCACUCUGGUGUUAAUGUCAGAGUCACAGGCUACCCCAGGUAGCAAUGAAGUGAUGAGGAUGCUGAUCUCUAGAAGCCUGCUUCAGGAGUAGAGCCCACACUUGUUGUUCUGACCUGGUGUUCAGUGCGACUGCAGUCAGUGUUGAGUGGUGCCAUGUGGGCCACUCUGUUCCAAAGGGAUCAUGGAUUAGACCCCAGGGCUGAGCUCCUCUAGGGCAGGACCUGCACCCUGUGUGUUGGUAGCGGCAUCGGGUCUCAGACCAGAGCAGAAUCCCCAGUGGAACCGGAAGAGCUGGCCUCAAGGAGAAAUGUCGGAAGAACACAUACUGCCGUUUUCCUAAUGCCAGAAAAGUGACCAGUGAAGAUUCACCAUCAAACCAAAGUCUUUCUUGGAUCCACUUCACCUUGAUUAGUCUGCACGUUGCUGGUUCACCGGAUCCCUCCUCUAGGGGCCUGGGGACUUUGAUUGAGGCUCUUCCUGAUUCUAGAGCAAAGGUGCGGGAAGGGGAAAUGGGGGAUGCCCUCCUGUCUGUGUCGUUUUCUGUGCCACAGCUGCAGAUGCAGAAGGUUUCUCUGGAUAGCACACCUCUGAGCCUAAAUCAUGAUAAAAUGGAUAUUUGGGAAACUUACUCCUAAGCUGUGAUUUAGGGUAUAUUUCUACUUCUGGACUGCCUAAAUAUCAAGGGCCGAGGCUUUCGAAUUUUGAAUAUUCGUUGGGUUUCAUAUUAAGAAGCCUGUGGUCUAGGAAUGGUAUGCAGUGUUUCUCUUCAUGAUAAACACUUUGAAUUUUUUUUUUGAGUUUUUGUUUCCUUUUCUGAAGCUAUGCCUCUUUUUAAAUAUUUUUAAUCACAUUGAUAAAUCUAUCCUUCACCACCUCUGGUUCUACUGAAGUUGAUUUUUAUUUUAUCUGUAAGCCUUUACAACUAUUUUUAAAUGUUUAAUUAUAUUUGAUUAAACACUUAACUGGAUUUUGGAAUAAUAAAAUCAUCCAAUUUGGCUUUUAAAAAGCAAGCUCCUUUAAUUAUUAAUAACUUUGCAAACUAAGCAUUGUUUAUGAUGUGUGAAAGUAGAAUUAAAGUAAGAUUCAAAGA